CAUCCGAUUAUACCCUUCUUCUUUACCAUUAUCCGGUAAUAAUGUGUUCUGUAUGUCCACGUAGUCUAUGUAAUACUUGGUCAAAUCUGUCUAAAAAUAUUAGAAAGAAAGAGUAAUCCAUGUUACACUUUUAUUAGUCACAUACAUAUACACAGAAUGUUCUACUCCAUAUAACUGAAAUAGUAUAGAUUAUAACCUAACAAACCGUAAUAUUAAACAUAUCCCAACCCCAAACCCUAUAUACUAAACCUUAUCCCCAUCACACCUCAACCCCUAAAUACUAAACCCUAAACUCUAAUCAAUAAAUCUCAAACCAAAUAUAAAUCAUAAUUCCAAAUAUAAAACCAAAACCCAAAUAAAAUGGAAAAACCUAAAUAACAUAGUAAAUAUUGGUGAAAUUAUGAAAUGUCUAUAAUUGCAUGGAAUAAGUUAAUGCUGACCCCAAACAUACCCCCUCACCUUCUAAAUGCUAAAUCCUUAACCUGAAUCACUAAACACUUACCCAAAUAUAAACUCUAAACUGAAACAUAAACCCUAAAACAAAAUAAAUAACAUAGUACAAAUAUAUUGGUGAAAAUAUGAAAUGUCGAUGAUUUCAUGGAAGAGGUUAAUAUUGAACCCAACCAUACUUUCUCACCUUCUAAAUAAUAAACCCUAAACCCUAAACUCUAAUCACUAAACUUUAACUCAAAUAUGAACCCAAACCCAAAUAUCAAAAUCUAAACCUUAACCAAUGUUAACCCCAAUUUUCCAUAAACUAAACCCAGAUUUCAAAAUACUAGUAAGAUACAUUACCAUUCUACAUGAGGUAUAUAAAAUAGAAAUGGUGAAAAUGUAGUUGCAAUCUAAAGAUCAUCGUAACAUAUUUUUCAAAUGUUGAUAUGGUCAUGCCUUCAUGGAAGGUGGUAAUGUUUGCCCCAAUAUCAACUCCAAUCGUACAUAAACUAAACCCUAUCAAAUAUCACUAAACCCUACAGAGAACUAUAAAUCCUAAUCCAAUGUCAACUCCAAUCUUCCAUAAACUAAACCCUAGCCACUAAUCACUAAACCCUACAUGGAAAUAUAAACCCUAAUCCAAUGUCAACCCCAAUCUUUCAUAAACUGAACCUCCAAGUAACAUGCACUUCCAUUCUACAUGAGCCUAUAGAAUAGAAAAUGUGACAAACGAUAUAGCACAAUACAUAUAUAUUGUUCAAAUUUUGAAGUGUCUAUGAUUGCAGGGAAUGAGGUAAUGCUUACACCAAAUUGAGAAUGUUGUGGCGAAAGAAAUGAAGAUUAACGGCAUUUGAGAGAAGAGGUGGAAGAGACAACAUUAUAUGUUUAUCAUUCUCAUUCAAAAUCACAUUGUAUUCUGUUUUAUUUGAUGUCAUAAUAAAUUUUAUUCUAUUUACGUUCAAUAUAUUAUUUCUCUUUACAAAAUCAUAUACAGACUAAUAUAAACCACAUAGAAACACCAAUAUAAAACUCAUAUCAAUAGAACAUGAAACAACAACAAACAAGAUUGAACCAUCUCUUUCAAGAAUCGAAUGAAAUAUAACUUACUAUAUCGUACAUUAUAUAUUAAUAAACAUGACAAAUAAGAGAAGAACCAAAUUUGAAAGAAAAACAGUCUUUUCCAUUUCAUAAAAUAAUAUAGAAAUACUAGUACCCUUCCAAUUCAUCUAUGACAAACCUGAAGAAUAAAAUGAAAAUGAAGACACAAGUUAGUUUACAAGUUGAGAUAGGCUACUAGUAUAUGAAUUACUUUAUGCUUAGUUAAAUGUUCUGAUACGAUUCUUCAGAAAUAGGCAGAGGAAUGGAAUGACACAUAACUACUCUCUAAAACUAAAACUUUCCAUUUCUAAUAGCACAUGCUCCAUAAAAUAUUUCAUUUCACACAGAACUAAACUUGUUUUAUCGCAAAAUGGACCUUUCAUUCCAAAAUCACUAUCCCCCCUUCGCAGUGAGAAAAGUUCAACCCUAAAUCAAUUUUUUUACCUCAGCUUACCAUAUCGGGCAUGCAACAGAAACGAUGAGUUAGAUUUAUCAACUUAGAAUACACUAGGGCCGAAUCUAUUCCAAGUAGAAGAGAUAACAUCAAAAUAAUAGAAUUUAUGGCACAAAACAGAGAAUUUACAAUAUUACAACAAAACUCACCAUAAUCGCCGAUAUGAAGGAGAUCUGAGAAGAAUCAACUUAGUGAAGGUUGAGAGGAAGGGUCUGUUACUACAACUUUAAUGUCGUCCGAUGUCGGAGGAUGGCACAAGCGGAGAAAAGUACACAAUUUUGGAAUGGGAGUACGAAGGAGAUGACAAAAGCAGGCGGAGCCGACGCUGUGGAGCAAAUCGGUGCUGACUCCGAAAAAGUUACCAAGGGAUGUAAAAGGAGAAAGAUGUGAAGUCAGGUAGGCCACGAUUUCUUUUUGUGCGAUUAAUAAUUAAUAUUUUUAAUUUUUUUUUAGCAGGUUGCGCCGGUUGAGAGAAAGGGUAUUACAGUAUUAAUAUAUAUAUAUAUAUAAAAAAAUGUUUGUCUCCCUCCUGUUGCGCCACCUUAGCAUCCAGGUCACAAAGUCGAGCUGCUACAGAUUGACACGUGUUCAGUCGAGUAAACCGCAUAGUUUCAUUUAAAGAUAUGUGUGUAGGCUUUUUGUUAAUCCUGGAGCCCAAACGGAAUGGCCCAAAUUUGAUUACUUACAUAAGUCGCAAGGUUUUUGUUCUUCUUCCAAGUCCGUUACUUUUUUAUGCGUUCUCUCUCACACUAUCAAUGGUGUUUCGAUGACUGAAACGAGAUGGAGAAUCUCUUCGUCUGUCUCCACAUAAGUUGUUUAGCCUUCUACUCUACUCAACCGAAAUCGUCCGAGUUACAGAUUCGACGCCAUCAUCGCCUUCUUAACUCCAAAGACCGACAUUUAGCACGAUCUUGGCAUUGAUUGUAAGUUAUGUCUCUGCAAGGCGGUCUAUUCUUCAUCUAUAAAAGAUUCUGGGAAGCCAAGAAUGUGAAAUGUGGAGGGGAACUGAUGUAUCUUGAUGUGCUCUUACUGGAUUCAAAGGCUUACUCCUUCUGUUAGAUCCUCAGCUUAUGACGACCUCGACUUUUUUUUUUGUUCCAGUAGGCACUUCUCUCUCGGGACGUUCAAUCAAGCAUUGCUCCAACAAGUAGUUAACAUUACGCCAUAACAACAGUACAAAGUACUAAAGCUGCAACAAGUUCUCACGACCACAUGGUGCAACCUUCAUAGCACUGAGGUUGUUGUCUUAUAUGCCAUGCGAUGAAAUGAAUCUCACCUGUGUUAAGAGCUGCGUUGCUUUUCCUACAUUUUCUUCCUUCUCUGCGAUUUAAUUCUUGCUUGGUUUCCUUCCUCUUCAAUCCAAGGGACAAGCAACUGGGUUGGUCCGUAACUGGAACUUACAGCAAUGAACAUGGUUUCUCACACUCAAAUUACCAAAAGAAGAAGAAGGCUCUCUCUCAAGUAUUACACUGCAGGCAAGCAUUCUCUGAUGUUUUAAUGAGAUUUCAGUCUACGUGUAUUCUUUUUGGUAUUAUCAUCAAAUCUAAUAUGUAUGUUUCAUGCCACAAAGGACAGAAAUUGAUCGGGUCUUCUUUUGGAGAUCUGGAAUACAUGGAUGGGGCCUUUCUGCAAGCAGAAUUAAUGAAUUAUCUAUGAAUGUGGGUUUUGUCUGUAUUUUAUAGAGAGGGAAUGAUGAGAGACAGUAUUUUGUUUCAGAUUCUUAAAUACAGACUGGAGUAGGUGAGAUGUACCAUUGCAGACCUGAGAGAAGGAAAAAAUGCUAUAUGAGUUGAGACUGUUUCCCAUUUAUCUCCACAAAUAUGUAUUUCUCUCUAUCUCUCUUCUAACCAAGAGAAGGAGACAAUCAUUUGGAUGAUGAUUCUGAUCAAAACCUGGAUUGGCGAUUUUUUAUAGGUGUGAAGGACAUGAGAAGACAUAGAUGAGAAAGGUUCAGAGAUUUAUACUUUUUAAUGUUUGUCACCAACAAAGAUGAGGAAAAAAGGCAAACAACAAAAAAAUUAAUGAUUACAUUUUUUUACAUUUUUUAUGGUAAGAUCAUUUUGUAAAUUUUAACAAAAAGGGGAAUUAGUAGAGUUGGUAUAACUCUAAGUAAAUUUCUGAUUUAAUGAUUACAUUUUUUACGUUUUUUAUGGUAAGAUAAUUUUGUAAUUUUAACAAAAAGAGAAAAUAGUAGAAUUGGUAUAUCUAUAAGUAAAUUUCUGAUUUGUAAAUUUUUAUCUUUUGGUUUAUUCCAACAGUCACUGUAUUCUGAGGGAUGUGGUUAACAUGUUUAUACAUGUCUAUCUUCCGAGUCAUGAAAGCUUUGUGAACUACUUACUUGGCUAUACUUAGAGCCAAAACCAAUGUCUUCAUGCUGACUCUUUCGAGAAUUACAAUCAAGAAGAAAAAAAAAAGAAUAUGCAACAAUUACUUUUAUGUGGCUCUCUCCGAGAAGUAACAGCAGAGGACAAUGUCAAUGAGAAGAGAAAUACAAACAACAUGGAUGCAAUGUUGGUACCAUAGAUUCUAUGAUUCUCUAUAUCUCUGUAAACUAAUUGGCCAUCCAAACAAUUUAACUAAGUUUUACAAAGAAAAAUUUAUAUGAUUCAUAAAGUUCUUUAUGAACUUAACCAAAAAUAUAUUGGUUUAAAUUCCAUUAACGUAAAGUUACAUUAUUUUUUGUAGUCUACAUAUUAUGAUUUUAAAGUAGCUAUUGGUUUGAAUCUAUUUUUAUAACUUUAUAUUAUAGUAAUAUACUAUAAGGGAUUAUUAAUUUCAUAGUAAUAUAAUUUUAAAAU